AUAUUUACCUGAGUCCGGGGCCUCGCUGAUCACCGCGGACGAGCCCCCAGGGCGAGGCACGGCUAUUGCACUGCGCUCGCAUUUACCCCUGCCACUACCCCAAGCUGGGGCAGAUUGGGGAUGCAAAUUGCUUAAAUCCGGUUCAACAAAAGACAAAGUGCCACCGC
rnacentral:snRNA from 1 species